CACGGAUGCCGCCCAAGAUUCCUUUAUUGCGAAGAACACCCAGAGAACUGUUCCCGUUGCUUAUACCCCAUGUGGCCCUGGUUCUGAGCCAGGACUUGGAGCUCUCUAAACCUCACAAGUGCCCCCAGGGAGGGCGGCUCAUUCCCUUUGCACAGGGCAUUUUCCGCAACUGGCUCUAUUUUGUGCCACUCCUGCUGCUUGUGCCACUGCUGCUGUGUUGUGUCUGGCGGCUGUGCCGCAAGCAGACUGUCAAGGAGCCACCACCUGUGCAGAAGCCAGAAAAGGAGCCAGAGCAGGAAAAACCACCAUCACCACCACCACCGCCUCCGCCUCCACCACCUCCACUCCCGCCUCCGCCCCCAGCUCCUGUAAACACCUGCCCCACUGUGAUUAUUUGUUGCUGUGGAUGCCAAGGAGUGGGCGGGAUGAGAAGGAUAGAGGGCAAUCUGGAUACCUUUUGUGACCUCUCUCACGCAAGCUGCCACCAGGUGCCAUGGAUGUGUUGUCAGAGCAGGGACCAGUGGUGAACCAGUCCAGCCUAAAGGGAGGAGCCUUGGUGGUAGACUGAGACAAAAGUCAACAAUCUCCUUUCCCAGUGUCCUGGGUGUUUGCAAUGAAGGCAUCUACCUUGGGGUAAGGAAUUCCUUAUUCUGCACCUCUUGCUUGUGAUUUAAAAUAAAAAUGAG
rnacentral:lncRNA from 1 species